rnacentral:rRNA from 1 species
AUUGAACGCUGGCGGCAGGCCUAACACAUGCAAGUCGAACGAGUGGCGGACGGGUGAGUAAUGUCUGGGAAACUGCCCGAUGGAGGGGGAUAACUCCUGGAAACGGUAGCUAAUACCGCAUACCAUCGGAUGUGCCCAGAUGGGAUUAGCAAGUAGGUGGGGUAACGGCUCACCGAGGCGACGAUCCCUAGCUGGUCUGAGAGGAUGAACAGCAACACUGGAACUGAGACAAGGCCCCGACGCCUCCGGUAGGCAGCAGUGGGGAAUAUUGCACAAUGGGCGCAAGCCUGAUGCGGCCAUGCCGCGUGGAGGAAGAGGGCCUUCGGGUUGUAAAGUACUUUCAGCGGUGAGGCGUUACUCGCAGAAUAAGCACCGGCUAACUCCGUGCCAGCAGCCGCGGUAAUUC